AGCAGAUGCAAGUACCAUGAGGGAAAGAUGAAAAGGACUUUGAAAAGAGAGUUAAAAGUGCCUGAACUCGCUGAAAGGAAAGCGGAUGGAACCAGUCGUGCUUGGCGAGAUUGUUGCGUGCAAAGGUGACUGCUCACUGCUCGUAGCGUAAGCGCAGCAGCGGGUUUCGAUCUGGUCGCGCGCGAUGCUUCUUGCCUUGUUCGUCAUCGUUGGUUUGGAGGCGCGGACAACUCUUGGGACAUGGGUAACUCGCCCCACGGGCGACGACGAACGUAGUGGCCGUUCGUCGACGAAACGUACCUACCCUACCCUAAACCCUAACGUAGUAGUUCGUUCCUUUCGUUUUAGGGUUUACGGUUUCGUUUGGUUCCGGUACCCGGUACCGGGCCGAACCGUUACCGUUUUCGUUACGAAAACGAAACGGUCGGGUUGGGUACGAACGAAAGUAAGGUUUCGGUUACUUUACGUUACCCCGGUACCCGUUUCGUUAAACGAAACCGGAACCCGGAAACCGGAAAGGGUACGUUAACCUAAACUAAUUAGUUGGUCGAACGUAAACGUUUACGGGUUUGGGGGUCGGGAAACCCGUAAAACCUUAGUUGGUCGGCCGAACUAAGUAAAGGUAAAGGUAGGUAGGUCGUCGUAGGAAGUAGU
rnacentral:rRNA from 1 species